rnacentral:rRNA from 1 species
GAUGAACGCUGGCGGCGUGCCUAAUACAUGCCAGUCGAGCGGACGGACGCGAAGCUUGCUUCUCUGAUGUUAGCGGCGGACGGGUGAGUAACACGUGGAUAACCUACCUAUAAGACUGGGAUAACUUCGGGAAACCGUAGCUAAUACCGGAUAAUAUUUUGAACCGCAUGGUUCAAAAGUGAAAGACGGUCUUGCUGUCACUUAUAGCUGGAUCCGCGCUGCAUUAGCUAGUUGGUAAGGUAACGGCUUACCAAGGCAACGAUGCAUAGCCGACCUGAGAGGGUGAUCGGCCACACUGGAACUGAGACACGGUCCAUACUCCUACGGGAGGCAGCAGUAGGGAAUCUUCCGCAAUGGGCGAAAGCCUGACGGAGCAACGCCGCGUGAGUGAUGAAGGUCUUCGGAUCGUAAAACUCUGUUAUUAGGGAAGAACAUAUGUGUAAGUAACUGUGCACAUCUUGACGGUACCUAAUCAGAAAGCCACGGCUAACUACGUG